rnacentral:rRNA from 1 species
GAUGAACGCUGGCGGCGUGCCUAAUACAUGCAAGUCGAGCGAACAGACGAGGAGCUUGCUCCUCUGACGUUAGCGGCGGACGGGUGAGUAACACGUGGAUAACCUACCUAUAAGACUGGGAUAACUUCGGGAAACCGGAGCUAAUACCGGAUAAUAUAUUGAACCACAUGGUUCAAUAGUAAAAGACGGAUUUGCUGUCACGUAUAGAUUGAUCCGCGCCGCAUUAUCUAGUUGGUAAGGUAACGGCUUACCAAGGCAACGAUGCGUAGCCUACCUGAGAGGCAGAUCGGCCAAACUGGAACUGAGCAACAGUCCACAGUCCUGCGGCAGGGAGAAGUAGGGAAACUUCCGCAAUAGGCGGAAGCCUGCCGGAGCAACGCCGCGUCAGUGAAGAAGCUCUUCGGAUCGUAAAACUCUGUUAUUAGGGAAGAACAAAUGUGUAAGUAAAUAUGCACGUCUUAACGGUACCUAAUCAGAGAGCAACGGCUAACUACGUG